rnacentral:rRNA from 1 species
CCUACGGGAGGCAGCAGUGGGGGAUAUUGGACAAUGGGGGGAACCCUGAUCCAGCGACGCCGCGUGAGUGAAGAAGUAUUUCGGUAUGUAAAGCUCUGUCAGCAGGGAAGAAAGAAAUGACGGUACCUGACCAAGAAGCCCCGGCUAACUACGUGCCAGCAGCCGCGGUAAUACGUAGGGGGCAAGCGUUAUCCGGAAUUAAGGGGUGUAAAGGGGGCGUAGACGGUUAAGUAAGUUGGGAGUGAAAGGCCGGGGCCCAACCCCGGGACUGCUCUGGAAACUAUUGAACUUUAGUGCAGGAGGGGUAAGCGGAAUUCCUAGUGUAGCGGUGAAAUGCGUAGAUAUUAGGAGGAACACCAGUGGCGAAGGCGGCUUACUGGACUGUAACUGACGUUGAGGCUCGAAAGCGUGGGGAGCAAACAGGAUUAGAUACCCUAGUAGUC